AAGCGAAUCUUAUACAUUUCUUCUGAUUCCUUGCUUGCUCUAGCAAGAGUGCUUGCCACACUUUGUCUUUGAUUAUUAUAAUCAUCAUAAUGCUUGACACAAGAGUUGUGCUUACUACCAUGUCCACCAAUAUGAUCUUUGAAGCCUUUAGACGCAUGCUUCCAAUCUGUAAAUCCCUCUUUGGUGAAGACUUCAUAACCGAAGUGCUCGGCCCUUCCAGGUUGCUUAAAGAGAAAACAAUAAAAACA
rnacentral:lncRNA from 1 species